rnacentral:rRNA from 1 species
AUUGAACGCUGGCGGCAUGCCUUACACAUGCAAGUCGAACGGUAACAGGUUAAGCUGACGAGUGGCGAACGGGUGAGUAAUACAUCGGAACGUGCCCAGACGUGGGGGAUAGCUCGGCGAAAGCCGGAUUAAUACCGCAUAAGCUCUGAGGAGGAAAGCGGGGGACCGUAAGGCCUCGCGCGUUUGGAGCGGCCGAUGGCAGAUUAGGUAGUUGGUGGGGUAAAGGCUUACCAAGCCUACGAUCUGUAGCUGGUCUGAGAGGACGACCAGCCACACUGGGACUGAGACACGGCCCAGACUCCUACGGGAGGCAGCAGUGGGGAAUUUUGGACAAUGGGCGAAGGCCUGAUCCAGCAAUGCCGCGUGCAGGAAGAAGGCCUUCGGGUUGUAAACUGCUUUUGUACGGAGCGAAAAGGUCUCCUCUAAUACAGGGGGCUCAUGACGGUACCGUAAGAAUAAGCACCGGCUAACUACGUGCCAGCCGCCGCGGUAA